rnacentral:rRNA from 1 species
CCCUUAGAUGUUCUGGGCUGCACGCGCGCUACACUGAUACACUCAACGAGUUCCUGUCUUGAAAGAGUCGGGUAAUCAUUUGAGCGUGUAUCGUGAUGGGGAUAGAAUAUUGUAAUUAUUACUCUUCAACGAGGAAUUCCUAGUAGUCACUGUUCAUCAGACAGUGACGACUAUGUCCCUGCCCUUUGUACACACCGCCCGUCGCUACUACCGAUUGAACGUUUUAGUGAGGCAUUUGGACCGACGCAUCUCAGUUUAACCGCUGGUUUGUGUUGGAAAGACUUCCAAACUUGAGCGUUUAGAGGAAGUGAAAGUCGUAACA